rnacentral:rRNA from 1 species
AGUGAACGCUGGCGGUAGGCCUAACACAUGCAAGUCGAACGGCAGCACAGUAAGAGCUUGCUCUUACGGGUGGCGAGUGGCGGACGGGUGAGGAAUACAUCGGAAUCUACUUUUUCGUGGGGGACAACGUAGGGAAACUUACGCUAAUACCGCAUACGACCUACGGGUGAAAGCAGGGGAUCUUCGGACCUUGCGCGACUGAAUGAGCUGAUGUCGGAUUAGCUAGUUGGCGAGGUAAAGGCCCACCAAGGCGACGAUGCGUAGCUGGUCUGAGAGGAUGAUCAGCCACACUGGAACUGAGACACGGUCCAGACUCCUACGGGAGGCAGCAGUGGGGAAUAUUGGACAAUGGGCGAAAGCCUGAUCCAGCCAUGCCGCGUGGGUGAAGAAGGCCUUCGGAUUGUAAAGCCCUUUUGUUGGGAAAGAAAAGCAGCAGGUUAAUACCCCGCUGUUCUGACGGUACCCAAAGAGUAAGCACCGGCUAACUUCGUG